rnacentral:rRNA from 1 species
CCUACGGGAGGCAGCAGUGGGGGAUAUUGCACAAUGGGGGGAACCCUGAUGCAGCGACGCCGCGUGGGUGAAGGAGUGCUUCGGCAUGUAAAGCCCUAUCGGCAGGGAAGAAGCAAGACGGUACCUGACUAAGAAGCCCCGGCUAACUACGUGCCAGCAGCCGCGGUAAUACGGGGGGUGCAAGCGUUGUCCGGAAUCAUUGGGCGUAAAGAGUUCGUAGGCGGCACGUAAAGUCUGGUGUUAAAGGCCAAGGCUCAACUUCUGUACGGCACUGGAUACUUGCGAGCUAGAAUGCGGUAGAGGUAAAGGGAAUUCCUGGUGUAGCGGUGAAAUGCUUAGAUAUCAGGAGGAACAUCGGUGGCGUAAGCGCUUUACUGGGCCGUAAUUGACGCUGAGGAACGAAAGCCAGGGUAGCAAAUGGGAUUAGAUACCCUGGUAGUC